rnacentral:pre_miRNA from 1 species
UAAAUACUUCCUCCGAUACUAAAUUAUUGUCGAAAUAUUACAUGUAUCUAGACACCUUUUAAGAAUAGAUACGUUCAUAUUUGAGCAAAUUUGAGACAAGAAUUUAGGAUCGGAGGGAGUAGUAA